rnacentral:tRNA from 1 species
GACCCUAAAAAGUCCUUUAAACAC